UACAUGGGGUGCAAACGUUGCUCGGAAUUAUUGGGCGUAAAGCGCACGUAGGCGGUUCGUUAAGUCGGAUGUGAAAGCCCUCGGCUCAACUGAGGAAGUGCACCCGAAACUGGCGAGCUUGAGUACGAAAGAGGAUCGCGGAAUUCCCGGUGUAGAGGUGAAAUUCGUAGAUAUCGGGAGGAACACCGGCGGCGAAGGCGGCGAUCUGGGUCGAUACUGACGCUGAGGUGCGAAAGCGUGGGGAGCAAACAGG
rnacentral:rRNA from 1 species